rnacentral:lncRNA from 10 species
UAUGAAACUCUUAUCUGGCAGGCAAUGUGCAAUGUGCUUGGCAUAAAUAUCUCAUAUCCUCACAAUAAUCGUGUAAGGAAGAAACUCGGACUCAACCUCAAGAUAAGCACCAAAGCUCAUUUUAAACCUCACUGCCCUCUGCAAGAUAACUAUACAGAUGCUCCUCGAUUUAUGAUGGGUUGCUUCCCGAUAAGCCCAUCGCAAAGUUGAAAAAUCCCCUAAGUCGAGCCACCCUAAGUUGGGGACGCCUGCAUCAUGCUUUCAGAGGUGAAUGUAAAGUGGGUGAAGCGGCUCAGUGAUUGAGCGCUAGCCAGGAUUCCACGCCAGGCCUUUCCGUGUUCAACAGCUGCUUUCAGAAGUGUGGAAGCCUCGGAGAGGGUCCCUGAGGUAAGAUGGGCUGAGCGUCGCCGCCUUCUGCAAGGACACCAGCCUUGAGAGAAGAGAGGAGAUAAGGUGCAAACGAAGAAAGGCAGGGACGCCGCGGUUUCAGUCGAAGCGUGGGCUCCUUAAGGACAGGGGCUGUGUCCGACUCGGCUCUGAAUCCCCAGCGCCUACACAAGCUCUGACACAGCGUAUACUCAGUAAACAUGGAGUGAAUCAGUUCAUUCAAUGAAUGAACGAAUGAAUGAAACGCCAGAGCCCGCCACAGGGGUCCGCUGCCGCUCCACGCCCGGGCCUCUCACCGGCCAAUCAACACUGUGACUCGUACGCCCUGCCCCCUGAUGCCACGCCCAUCACUCGCCCCUCUGGAUUCCCUCCGGCUGCGUGGAAAUCCCGGAGCACUGGAUUUCCCAGAGGCGCCUCCGGUAGCAGUGCGCAUGCUCCAGCGCCGGUAGCUGAGGCAUCAAUUUCCCGCAGCGCCUAGGGGACGGAUUGGAAAGCGAUUGGCUUAGGGGACGGAAGCCAAGCUCCACCUGCCUGACACCCGGCUCUUCACGCAGAACCGAAGAUUCAUUUUGGACAGCCCUUCCCCAGUACCACUCCCACCCCGACGUUGGUCCCAAUCGGAACCUAUCCUACACAAGGCUGAAAAAAAGAGGGGAGCGACCGGAAGUGACGCACGAGCGCGAGCGGAAAAACAGGGGCCCAGCGCCUGUUGCCGUGGAAACCGAGCCCUCGGCUUGCGUCCCGGGUGCUACCAGGAUGAGACAACUCUACUCAGACCCAAGCACACCAAGCCAGGAAUGCACAAAGGACGGCUGAUGUUUGAGAUAAGAACUGUCUCAAGGACUUUCUAUAAUAACCACACAAGGAAUUCCUCAUGUACGUCACAAGUCUCAUGCGUUUCUCCACCUACGUUUUGCACAUGUGCACACAUUUAUUGAUUUAGAGGCAGGGAUCUUGCUGUGCUGCCCAGACCGGACUCAAAUUCCUGGGCUCAAUCGGUCCUCCUGCCUCAGCCUCUAGAGUAGCUGGGACUCCAGGCAUGCGCCACCCUGUUAUUUCUGUGACCAGGCUUAGCACUAGGCAUUCUUUCGGACGACAGCAAUUCAAAUAAGAUGCUCUCCAAAGAACACUUGCCUAGUAGCGGCAUCUCCAAAAAUAAAUUGAUGCCGCUCCGGCUUUGAGCCUCCAGAACCAAAGAAACCUGUUUCCAGACAGCUUAUGUGAACUUCUACUUUUGGCCAAUAAGAGCUCCCACUUACCCCUGCCCUAUUCAGGUGCACCUGUGGCUUGCCAUAGCCAUAUAGCCAGGUGCACCAUCCUUUUUGCCUGCUCCUGAAUAAAUUAAUUAUAUUAGGAGACAUCUUUCUCUGAUGUCUUUUUUAGGUUAGCAACUCUAAUAUGUUGGAAGAAUACAGGCCAGCUACUUUGUAGAAUGUUCCUCAAUUUGAGUUUGUAUGAUGCUUUCUCAUGAUUAGAUUCAGGUUAUGUAUGUUUUGCAAAAAUACCUCAGAAGUGAUGGCAUCCUUGGUGCGGCAUCCUUGGUGCAUUAUAUCAGGAGGCAAAUGAUGUGGGUUUGUCCCAUUGUUUGUAAUGGUAACAUUGGUUGCUUGGUUAAGGUGAAGGGUGCCAAGCUUCUCCACUGUAAAGUUCCUAUUUUUUUCUCUGUAAUUAAUAAGUAAUUUGUAUGAUACUUUGAGAUAACAAAGUAGACUGUUCAUCAAACUUUCAUCAAUGAAUUUAACAUCCAAAGACGCCUCAAGAAUGAUCAUCAAAAGCAGCCUACUAAUGACUGUCAUUUACCAUUUAAUACAUUUCAAACAGUGCACGUGCUCUGUGACAUAUUCUGGGAAGGAACAUGUUACCUGAUACAUAAUAGGUGAUCAA